rnacentral:rRNA from 1 species
AUUGAACGCUGGCGGCAUGCCUUACACAUGCAAGUCGAACGGCAGCACGGGAGCAAUCCUGGUGGCGAGUGGCGAACGGGUGAGUAAUAUAUCGGAACGUGCCCAGUCGUGGGGGAUAACGUAGCGAAAGCUACGCUAAUACCGCAUACGAUCUAUGGAUGAAAGCGGGGGAUCGCAAGACCUCGCGCGAUUGGAGCGGCCGAUAUCAGAUUAGGUAGUUGGUGAGGUAAAGACUCACCAAGCCGACGAUCUGUAGCUGGUCUGAGAGGACGACCAGCCACACUGGGACUGAGACACGGCCCAGACUCCUACGGGAGGCAGCAGUGGGGAAUUUUGGACAAUGGGCGCAAGCCUGAUCCAGCAAUGCCGCGUGCAGGAUGAAGGCCUUCGGGUUGUAAACUGCUUUUGUACGGAACGAAACGGUGAGCUCUAAUACAGUUUGCUAAUGACGGUACCGUAAGAAUAAGCACCGGCUAACUACGUG